rnacentral:rRNA from 1 species
UACAGAGGGUGCGAGCGUUAAUCGGAAUUACUGGGCGUAAAGCGCGCGUAGGCGGUUUUGUAAGUCGGGUGUGAAAUCCCCAAGCUUAACUUGGGAACUGCAUUCGAGACUGCAUAGCUAGAGUAUGGGAGAGGGAAGUGGAAUUUCAGGUGUAGCGGUGAAAUGCGUAGAUAUCUGAAGGAACAUCAGUGGCGAAGGCGGGUCUCUGGACAGUUCCUGACACUGAGGCACGAAGGCCAGGGGAGCAAACAGG